GACUCAAUUGGUAGAGCAUGGUGUUUGCAACGCCAGGGUUGUGGGUUCGAUUCCCAC
rnacentral:tRNA from 1 species